GUAAAAUGAAUGGAAAAUUUUCUUAAUAAAAAAAAAAAGAAAUUGUGUCUAAACAACAACAACAACAACAACAACAACAAACAACAAAAGACCAGGGAGCAAUUCCAAAUUAGAGGUGCUAAAAUAUGACCUUGAGAGAGAGAUUCGGAAAAUAUGUCACAGUGAUGUGAUUCUUAAUCUGACACUUUCAAUAAUAAGAAUGCUGUAAAUAGAAGGGUUACUGUGGGCCAUCCAUUAUGCACAUCCUUGGGAGUACCUCAAUGAACAAACUGCCAAUCUGAAGGGAAACAGAUGAAUAAACAUAGAAGCUGUGAAGACAGGGAUCUGAAAUGAAAUACAAUGCUACUGUUUGUCUCCCAGCCAGAUAGCUACAAUUAUAUUCCACCAACUGUGAUGAUACUAAAUAAGUCAAAUCCUUCCUUCCCCAUUUCUUGCCUCCCUUACUUAUUUUGUUUUCCUCUCAUUUCUAUAAUACAUUCAAUUCCUUCUUUUUUCAUUGACUAACUAUAGCCAAUCAAUAGUAACUAGAACUAUCUAGCAAUACUAUUUUUAUGUGUUAAAAAUUAACUAUGCAGGCCAGGUUAUAGCUCAGUCAAUGCUUGCAUGAGGAUUUGACUUGGAUUCCCUUCCCAUAGUAAUCCAAGCACAGGAAGCAGAUAUAGCUAGGUCCAUGGUGCUCAAUAGCCAGCCAGCUCAGGUACUUGGAAAGUUAGUUCUAGGUAGGUGAGAGACCCUGUCUCAGAAAAAAAGGUGAACAGCUGAAGUGUGUGCUCUGGCCUCCCCACACCUAUACAUACACGAGCAUCCUUACCCCAACA